GACGAACGCUGGCGGCGUGCUUAACACAGGCAAGUCGAACGGAAAGGCCCUGCUUUUGUGGGGUGCUCGAGUGGCGAACGGGUGAGUAACACGUGAGUAACCUGCCCUUGACUUUGGGAUAACUUCAGGAAACUGGGGCUAAUACCGGAUAGGAGCUCCUGCUGCAUGGUGGGGGUUGGAAAGUUUCGGCGGUUGGGGAUGGACUCGCGGCUUAUCAGCUUGUUGGUGGGGUAGUGGCUUACCAAGGCUUUGACGGGUAGCCGGCCUGAGAGGGUGACCGGCCACAUUGGGACUGAGAUACGGCCCAGACUCCUACGGGAGGCAGCAGUGGGGAAUAUUGCACAAUGGGCGGAAGCCUGAUGCAGCAACGCCGCGUGCGGGAUGACGGCCUUCGGGUUGUAAACCGCUUUCGCCUGUGACGAAGCGUGAGUGACGGUAAUGGGUAAAGAAGCACCGGCUAACUACGUG
rnacentral:rRNA from 1 species